rnacentral:rRNA from 1 species
GACGAACGCUGGCGGCGUGCUUAACACAUGCAAGUCGAGCGGAAAGGCCCUGCUUUUGUGGGGUGCUCGAGUGGCGAACGGGUGAGUAACACGUGAGUCUCCUGCCCUUGACUUUGUGAUAACUUCAGGAAACUGCGGCUAAUACCGGCUAGGAGCUCCUGCUGCAUGGUGGGGGUUGGAAAGUUUCGGCGGUUGGGGAUGGACUCGCGGCUUAUCAGCUUGUGGGUUGGGUAGUGGCUUACCAAGGCUUUGACGGGUCGCCGGCCUGGGAGGGUGACCGGCGACAUUGGGACUGAGAUAGGGCCCAGACUCGUACGGGAGGCAGCAGUGGGGAAUAUUGCACAAUGGGCGGAAGCCUGAUGCAGCAACGCCGCGAGCGGGAUGAAGGCCUUCGGGUUGUAAACCGCUUUCGCCUGUGACGAAGCGUGAGUGACGGUAAUGGGUAAAGAAGCACCGGCUAACUACGUG